AAGGAGGAGAGACUGAUCACCUGCAUAAUCACUGCUGAAAGGUCAUGUAAGGUGGAGACAGAAAAGUAUACAUGGAUUUGGCAAAAAAAAGGAUUUGCUGGGGAAGAGGGGGUGAAACUCUGAAUUGAGUGAGGAGAGAAAGGGGAAAGAAAUUGAAGACAGAACAGACACUGCUUUCUAGAAAUAAAGCUAUAGCUGGAGGGGGAAAUGAGGUCAAGAGAGAUUUCCUUAUUUGUUAAGAUGGGAAAAAUAAUAGCCCAUCCGUGUACUUGUUGAUAGAAAUAAUUUGGUAGAAAGAGAAAAAUUGAUGAUGCAAGAGAGAAUGAGAAGGAAUUUGGUGGGGUAGAAAGAAGGCUAGAACCUACUGCUCAAAGAGAGGGUUUGGCUAUGGUGAGGGAGAAUCUAUCUACAUGACAGGACAUUGACCAGGCACGGAGGUAUGCUCUUGUAGUUUUCAUACUUUGUAAUAAAAGAAACAUCAAUUUUAAAAACUCAACAACAAAUAGAACAUGAAAAUAGUCUGUCUACUUAAAACCUUAAAACAUUACAGAUGAAACUAAAGUCUCCUUUGGUGAUGUUGUGGGAUUUUAUUUAUUUUGAUGUCUGAGAACUAUUCCAUUGUAUGGAUAUACCAUAGGUUGUUCAUCCAUUCACCUGUUGAGGGAAAUUUGUUUUGUUUUCCACAUUGGCUGUGACAAACACAACUGCUGUAAACAUUUGUGUACAUGUUUUUGUAUGGAUGUAAGUUUUUCUUUUGUCUAAAGUAAAUAGUUAAUUUACUGCUGGGUGAUAUGGUAACUGUAUGCUUACCCUUAUAAGAAACUGUCAAACUUUCUCCAAAGUGACCAUACAAUCCAUUUUGCAUUUCCGCCAGCAAUGUAUGCAUGAGAGACCAGUUGAUCCUCAUCCUUUCCCCUGCUGGUAUUGUCAGUAUUUUUAGUUUAGCUGCUCUAACAUGUGAGUCAUGGUGUCUCCUCAUAGCUUUAAUUUGCAUGUCCCUAAUGACUAAUGAUGCUGAGCAUCUUUCCGUGUGCUCAUUCUUUUCUCCACUUCUUAAUCGGAUUCUUUGUUUUCUUACUGUUGAGUUUAGAGCCACCUUUAUACAUUCUAGGUACAACCUUUUAGAUCAAAUAUGUAAUUUGCAAAUAUUUUCUCCCAGUCUAUAUCUGGUCUUUUCAUCCUCUUUAACAAUAUAUUUUGCAGAAUAAAAGUAUUUUGAUG
rnacentral:lncRNA from 10 species